CCUGGCGGCUGUAGCGCGGUGGUCCCACCUGACCCCAUGCCGAACUCAGAAGUGAAACGCCGUAGCGCCGAUGGUAGUGUGGGGUCUCCCCAUGUGAGAGUAGGGGACUGCCAGGC
rnacentral:rRNA from 1 species